rnacentral:rRNA from 1 species
CGUAGCCGCGGUAAUACAGAGGGUGCGAGCGUUAAUCGGAUUUACUGGGCGUAAAGCGUGCGUAGGCGGCUUUUUAAGUCGGAUGUGAAAUCCCUGAGCUUAACUUAGGAAUUGCAUUCGAUACUGGGAAGCUAGAGUAUGGGAGAGGAUGGUAGAAUUCCAGGUGUAGCGGUGAAAUGCGUAGAGAUCUGGAGGAAUACCGAUGGCGAAGGCAGCCAUCUGGCCUAAUACUGACGCUGAGGUACGAAAGCAUGGGGAGCAAACAGGAUUAGAUACCCCUGUAGUCCCUGUCUCUUAUACA